UCACCCUAAAGUGUUUUUGUGUCAGAUACCAAAUUUAUUAAUGGGAUUUUUUCAGGUCACAAAAUGUGACCCCACCCUCUCAUGAAUAUUCAACAGAGAACCAAGGGCUCUUCUGCGGGGUAGAAGGGCCUUAAAUCUGCCAGAAAGUCCCCCGACUAUCAGUAGAGUUCUGACUCUUAAAGAGAAAAGGUGCUCUUUCCGGAGGGGCUGGCAGAGAGCCCCAACGGCAGGAAAUAAAAAUAAAGGAAGUGCUCUCCAACCAAUGUACAGGGAGAAAGUGGAAAGAAUCAUUUCAAAACGCCUAAGUGACUUUCUUUUUCCCAAAGUAUUAAAAUUGAGUUUUAAUGUUUAUAAACAAAAACUGGGAUGUACUUUGAAUAUGCAAUGUGUUUUUAUUUUAGAAACUAAGUUCUUCAUGAGGCAUCCAUAAAACUCAUGCAUGCUCUUAGAAGGUGGACUAACUCCUUUGCAGCAGCAACAGCAAUCCCCCUUAUCUCUGAAGUCUGCAAAGCCCUGUCAACA
rnacentral:lncRNA from 1 species